rnacentral:rRNA from 1 species
GACGAACGCUGGCGGCGUGCCUAAUACAUGCAAGUAGAACGCACAGUUUAUACCGUAGCUUGCUCCACCAUAGACUGUGAGUUGCGAACGGGUGAGUAACGCGUAGGUAACCUGCCUGGUAGCGGGGGAUAACUAUUGGAAACGAUAGCUAAUACCGCAUAAUAUUGAUUAUUGCAUGAUAAUUGAUUGAAAGAUGCUAUUGCAUCACUACCAGAUGGACCUGCGUUGUAUUAGCUAGUAGGUGAGGUAACGGCUCACCUAGGCGACGAUACAUAGCCGACCUGAGAGGGUGAUCGGCCACACUGGGACUGAGACACGGCCCAGACGCCUACGGGAGGCAGCAGUAGGGAAUCUUCGGCAAUGGACGAAAGUCUGACCGAGCAACGCCGCGUGAGUGAAGAAGGUUUUCGGAUCGUAAAGCUCUGUUGUAAGAGAAGAACGGGUGUGAGAGUGGAAAGUUCACACUGUGACGGUAUCUUACCAGAAAGGGACGGCUAACUACGUG